GAUGAACGCUGGCUGUGUGCCUAAUACAUGCAUGUCGAGCGAAGCACUUUUGUGCUUAGCGGCGAAUGGGUGAGUAACACGUACUUAACCUACCCUCAAGAUUGGGACAACACUUGGAAACGAGUGCUAAUACCAAAUACGUAUUUUUAUCGCAUGAUAGAUAUAUAAAAGGAGCUUCGGCUUCACUAGAGGAUGGGAGUGCGCUACAUUAGUUAGUUGGUAGGGUAAUGGCCUACCAAGACUAUGAUGUAUAGCGGGGCCGAGAGGCUGAUCCGCCACACUGGGACUGAGAUACGGCCCAGACUCCUACGGGAGGCAGCAGUAGAGAAUUUUCCACAAUGAACGAAAGUUUGAUGGAGCGACACAGCGUGCAGGAUGAAGGUCUUCGGAUUGUAAACUGCUGUUAUAAGAGAAGAAAAACCCUGGUAGGUAAUGACCAGGACUUGACGGUACCUUAUCAGAAAGCGACGGCUAACUAUGUGCCAGCAGCCGCGGUAAUACAUAGGUCGCAAGCGUUAUCCGGAAUUAUUGGGCGUAAAGAGUUCGUAGGUGGUUUUGUAAGUCUGAAGUUAAAUACCGGGGCUCAACCCCGGCCCGCUUUGGAUACUGCAAAACUAGAGUAAUAGAGAGGUUAGUGGAACUCCAAGUGAAGCGGUGGAAUGCGUAGAUAUUUGGAAGAACACCAAUGGCGAAAGCGACUAACUGGAUAUUAACUGACACUGAGGAACGAAAGCGUGGGUAGCAAACAGG
rnacentral:rRNA from 1 species